UACGUAGGGACCGAGCGUUGUCCGGAAUCAUUGGGCGUAAAGAGCGUGUAGGCGGCUUGCUAAGUCUUGCGUGAAAUCUCGGGGCUCAACCCCCGAGCGGUCGUGGGAAACUGGCAGGCUAGAGUGCGGGAGAGGAGAAUGGAAUUCCUGGUGUAGCGGUGAAAUGCGCAGAUAUCAGGAAGAACACCCGUGGCGAAGGCGGUUCUCUGGAACGCAACUGACGCUGAGACGCGAAAGCGUGGGGAGCAAACAGG
rnacentral:rRNA from 1 species